CAGUGCACUGGCAGCUGUUGAGUCAGGGGCGGUAGCGUG
rfam:Izhakiella sp. D4N98 NODE_27_length_32625_cov_97.0131_ID_4526, whole genome shotgun sequence.